rnacentral:rRNA from 1 species
UACGUAGGGUGCAAGCGUUGUCCGGAAUUACUGGGCGUAAAGGGCUCGUAGGCGGCCAACUAAGUCAGACGUGAAAUCCCUCGGCUUAACCAGGGAACUGCGUCUGAUACUGGAUGGCUUGAAUCCGGGAGAGGGAUGCGGAAUUCCAGGUGUAGCGGUGAAAUGCGUAGAUAUCUGGAGGAACACCGGUGGCGAAGGCGGCAUCCUGGACCGGCAUUGACGCUGAUGAGCGAAAGCCAGGGGAGCAAACGGG